UACGUAGGGGCAAGCGUUGUCCGGAAUCAUUGGGCGUAAAGCGGCGUGUAGGCGGCCAGAAAAGUCCGCUGUGAAAACUCGAGGCUCAACUUCGAGCUGUCGGUGGAAACUUUCUGGCUAGAGUCCGGAAGAGGAGAAUGGAAUUCCGUGGUGUAGCGGUGAAAUGCGCAGAUAUCAGGAAGAACACCCGUGGCGAAGGCGGUUCUCUGGGACGGUACUGACGCUGAGACGCGAAAGCGUGGGGAGCGAACAGG
rnacentral:rRNA from 1 species